GACGAACGCUGGCGGCGUGCUUAACACAUGCAAGUCGAACGGGAACCUUUAUUUCGGUAAAGGUGAGAGUGGCAAACGGGUGAAUAACACGUAGGCAACCUGCCGACAGGAUGGGGACAACAUUCCGAAAGGAAUGCUAAUACCGAAUGGAGUCCGAGGAUGGCAUCAUCCACGGAUCAAAGAUGGCCUCUUAACAAUGCUAUCGCCUGUCGAUGGGCCUGCGUCUGAUUAGCCAGUUGGCGGGGUAACGGCCCACCAAAGCGACGAUCAGUAGCCGGUCUGAGAGGAUGAACGGCCACAUUGGGACUGAGACACGGCCCAGACUCCUACGGGAGGCAGCAGUGGGGAAUCUUCCACAAUGGGCGAAAGCCUGAUGGAGCAACGCCGCGUGAGUGAAG
rnacentral:rRNA from 1 species